UUGGAUCCUCUGCCCCACUCUCUCUGCCCCUCCCCCGCUUGCACUCUCCCCCCCCCUGAAAAAAAGGAUUAAAAAAAAAGAAUUAAAAAUAUUCACUUAACCCACUGUUGUGUCGGGUCUCUACUGCAGCAGCUGAACCUGUACGUAACCUGAUAACGGAGGGAGUCCAUGUAUCGGUUCUCUUUUGCCACAACAGUGCUAAUAAACCAUCCUCAAAACUCAGGAGGCUGGGAAACCGAUUCUGACAGGUUGGCCGUCACCGCUGUACUCUAAUGCCCUGCUGGCUGGAUCGGCGCGGCUUCUCGCUGCUGGUCUUGUCUCCCUGUGUUGCUGCCGGGACCCAGGCUGAAGAGGCAGCGGCUACCCAAGAGAAGCGUAAGAGAGCAAGCACUCUCGCUCUCUUCGAGCCUAAGCACGGAGCCUCUUCGAGCCUCUUCGAGCCUAAGCACGGAACCGGCCCCAAGCCCCAAGCCAGGGGAUGGGAAAGUACACUGUGGCCACGAGGAGACACAGCAGGAGCGGGGAUGCGGGGAGGGCCCAUAAUUCUCUCUCCUAGAAUGUGACAGAGUCCUGGGUUAGAGGCUACGACACGGUGGCUCUGCUCUUCUAGGCGUCACCUACGAAUGGCGCGGAGUGAAAGAUAGCGUCCAUCCAUGUGAAGACUCAACCGCAGGUCUCUAUUAGGUCAGGAGCCCUGACAAGACAAGAAUCACAUCUCCUUCCUCUUCCCAACGCCUAGUGCCAGACCUUGCCCUCAGGGCUGACUCAGGGAUAUUACUGGGUGACUCUGAGACCAUUUCUUCACUCUCUGCAUAGGAUUCCUUAUGUAAUACAGACUGACCUCCUACAGGUCAGCACACAGUGCUAUGUGUUUGCCCCCAAAGCUGCAAAGGGACCGUGCCAUUGGGAACUGAGAUGUGUACCUAGGUCUGUCUACACCGCAUCCUGGAUCCACUGCCUCCCAGAGGGACCUCCAGAAGAAAGGACUUCUACAAGUUAAAUAUCGCAGACUUCACACUCCAAAGGAGAACCGCUUGAAGAGAGCCAUGGUUGACGCUAAGGAAUGCCACCAUCACCACAGAAUUCCAGGCACCGGGCAUGUGGGUAGAAAGUAUAUUUUAGGGCAGUGACUCCUGGUAAGUCGUUUCCUCCAGACCCUAAAACGGACUAUUCAAUGUCAAGCUGUCUCAGGCUCAGGCUGAUAACAGGGCAGCCAUAGGGGACCUAGUGGGAGCUGCGUUGUCACGGUCCAAGUCUGUACACACCGCUUGUAUAACCUGCCCAAGUUCGCAAAGACAAUAUAUCAGUCGCCGCUCUUUAUGCUCCAAGUGAAAGAAAUCCAACUAAAAUAUGCUUAAACCAAAAAUGUCAUACAGUGUAUCGGCUCACAUAACCGGGAAGCCUAAGAUCUUAAAGCUGGCCGCACCUAGCGCUCAAACAUCAUUCUCUCCCCAACUGUCCCGCAGUUGUGCUUUCCUCCAUGAUGGCUUCAGGCUUCAGGAUGCAUGCCCCAAGACUGCAAAGAUAGUCGUUAGUAACUCCAACUCUCCACUGAGGUUGAGCAAGCCUCAUAAAGGAAAGCCAGUCUUCAAAAAGCCUCUGAUUGGUCUGCUUGGACCCUGUAUCUGGUAGGAGGAGACCCUGAUUGGCCAGCCAUGGCCACGUGCACCUGCAAGGUGGGCCUUAAACCGGUACUUCAGUCUCUGCUAGGGCACAGGAACUGAAUAGAAAGUCAAGAGAGGGGUUGUCUCACGGCAAGUUGAGGGGGUGAGGUGACAAAUGGAAGACCAGACAUUGAGGCUAGACUGAACUAACCCUAAGCCUAAACUUUGAACAGGCUUUCACACGUUCAUAGAUGCUAUUGUGAGUAAAACACAAAUUCACUUAAGAGCAGGAGUGCCCUCAUGGUAACUUUUGGUCUUUCUGUAUUUUUUGUCCCAACUAAUAGAUAUCGAAAGGAUACCUACGAUCACGAGCAGGUCCAAAGACCAUUUAUUUUUUAAUAUUAGAAAGGGAUUCUUAACUGCAGAUUAAGAGAGAGAGUAAAGAAAGCAAGAAGAGAAGGGAGCCAGGAAAAGCCCAGCCCAGGAAGCAGCGAAGGAAGGUUCCAGGACAGCAGCGUAUGACAGGUCAAGGAGGUAGCCGAGGGAAAUGGCACUAACUGUCAUGCCAGAGCACUGGAGCGGAGUGGAGGAGUGAUCGUGGCGGGCAGCACAGAAAGAGAAGGAGAAGAAAUUAAACCCCGGGGGGUCAGGGGACAGAAACGAGUGCCAUCGGACUGCAUGAGUAAGCUCUGCGGUGAACAAUACUUACCUGGUCACAAUUCUGCAACCACUAUCAAUCGUGGGGCAAGAGUGACAAGAAUAACCCCAAGAAUGGAAUGGGUGGGGGGUGUUAAAGACCUAACUCCUUGCCUGUGUUGCCAGGAAGUCCACAGACAGUGUCUAAAAUGGAGGAAUCAGAGCACCUGGGUGGCUCAGUCGGUUGAGCGUCUGACGUCAGCUCAGGUCACGAUUGCACGGUUCGUGGGUUCGAGCCCCGCAUCGGGCUUUGUGUUGACAGUGCAGAGCCUGCUUGGGAUUCUCUCUCUCCUCCUCUCUCUUUCAAAAAAAAAAAAAAAAUUAAAAAAAAUCUUUUAAAUGGAAGAAUUAAGAGCUAGAAACACAAGAUAGGUGGAGAUAAGCACCCGACGAUCCAGCGAGAGACUACCUGGUGGACUCGUGGCCCAUGAAUGGUGGAAACGUGCGCCAGAGUAAGAUGGAGGGAGGAAGACAAGCCCGUAGACUUUGCAGAGCGGCCGAGAGGCCUAAGAAGUAAGAGAAGACCAGGAGACAGGGGCUCCUGAAAAGAUCGACAAGAGAUUACCAUGCGGGGUUCCCACAGCUUUUGCGGACAGCGGCUGCGCAAAAAUUCAUUGGAAGAACUGAGGAAUGUUGCUGGCUCCAUCUGGGGGAGGGCAUGCUUGUAUCAAGACACUGAUGCUCUUGAUGUGCUAUAAUUAUAACCAGAAACACUAUCCUUUUGCCUAGGAAGCUGGAUUUCCUAGUAAAUUCCUUACUUUCCAAGUUGUUUAAUGCUAAGAUAA